AUUUGAUUGUUCUCAUGCUCUUCUAGUUUACUUUUGCUUCUCCAUUCUGAAUUGGAAUUUUGUUUGUUUUAUGGGAUUGGAGUUUAGGCAUUACCAUUCCUAUGGUAGAACUCAAAUAUUUACUGAUAUAUCUUAACAUACAAUUGGCUAAAUCACGUGUGGCUAAACAUUGUCUGCCAAUCAUUGUAGCAUUUGAAUAUGAUAGAAUCUUAUAACUUAGAUGGUAUGAAUUAUGUG
rnacentral:misc_RNA from 1 species